UACGAAGGGGGCUAGCGUUGCUCGGAAUUACUGGGCGUAAAGCGCACGUAGGCGGCUAUCCAAGUCAGUGGUGAAAGCCCGGAGCUCAACUCCGGAACUGCCAUUGAAACUGUUUAGCUUGAGGACGAGAGAGGUGAGUGGAAUUCCCAGUGUAGAGGUGAAAUUCGUAGAUAUUGGGAAGAACACCGGUGGCGAAGGCGGCUCACUGGCUCGUUUCUGACGCUCAGGCGCGACAGCGUGGGGAUCAAACAGG
rnacentral:rRNA from 1 species